CGGCGUGCCUAACACAUGCAAGUCGAGGGUAGCAAUACACUGGCGCACGGGUGAGUAACGCGUAGAUUAUCUGCCCCUUUCACAGGGAUAACCCAGGGAAACUUGGGCUAAUAUCUGAUGAGGCAAUUUAUUGUCAAAGUAUUCGUACGGAAAGGGAUGAGUCUGCGUCCGAUUAGCUAGUUGGUAAGGUAACGGCUUACAAGGCAAUGAUCGGUAACUGGUCUGAGAGGACGAUCAGUCACACUGGAACUGAGACACGGUCCAGACUCCUACGGGAGGCAGCAGUGAGGAAUAUUGGUCAAUGGAGGCAACUCUGAACCAGCGACGCCGCGUGAGGGAUGACGGGGUUUUCCCUGUAAACCUCUGUCGAGUGGGAAAAAAUGGUCCUUUUAGGACUUGGGCUUGUACCACUGGAGGAAGCACCGGCUAACUACGUGCCAGCAGCCGCCGUAACAC
rnacentral:rRNA from 1 species